rnacentral:sRNA from 1 species
ACGAAACUGAACAAUGAUUAGAAGAUGAGACCGUCGACGAGAUUGAGGACUAUGGUCCUGUUCGUUUGUCUGUCGUUGGUGACUGAAACCAGCGACAGCAACCAAAAGUUGUUCGUUUGCCUGUCGUUGGUUCAGCGACCAAAAGUAGCGACAGUCGCCAGCGACCGGCGACUGCAAUUUUUGGUCGCUGAAAUUUUUAGCGAUCAAUUGCUGGUUUCAGCAAUUAGUCGCUGCUUUUGGUCGCUGGAUUCAGCGACAUGCAAACGAACAACUUAGCGAUCAAAAAAUAUAAAUUAAAAAA